ensembl:snRNA U6 U6 spliceosomal RNA
GCGCUUGCUUCAGCAGCACAUACACUAAAAUUGGAACAAUACAGAGAAGAUAGUAUGGCCCCUGUGCAAGGACGACAUGCAAACUGAAAAGUGUUCCACAUUAAA